UGUUGUCAAAUACUUCCUCUCUCCAUAGCACGUAGAGGGCAACGAUGAAGGCCACACUUAUUAUGCCGAAACAAGUGUAAUCGUAACAAUAUCCCACCACAAGUGCCAUCUUUGGAUAUCUUCUUGCUCAGUUAUGCUUCAUUGUGCUUACAUAUUUGCAAAAGAGGUAAUUUUUAAGUAGUUUCUUAUAUAUAGCUGGAGACUAACAGGUGCAUGCAGGCUCAUUGGACUGGUAGUUUUGACUUAUUGGUAAUUUAGAUCUGAGAUUAAUUAUGUAUGUAUGUGAGACAUAGAUUGUUU
rnacentral:lncRNA from 1 species